AAAAUAGUCUUUGGGGUUCUUAGUUGGUUUGUAAGGCCUGUCUAAAAUCAACUGUGGUCCAAUCUACAUUAGGCUAGGGGUCUCUGGGUAUAUUUCACUGAAGAAAAAUAUAAGCACCACCAAAAAGAAAUGUAGCACCACAGGAGGUUACUUCCCUCCAUUUGGUCCAACAGAUGGGUAUAGGGGUCUAAAUACUCUUAGGGGUACUAAGUUGGUUUGUAAGGCUCAUUGGUCAACAGGCAACUGUGGUCUAAUCUUUAAGUUAAGGGUUCUCAUAGGGUAUAUUUCAUUAAAGAAAAAUAUAUAACUACCAAGAAAAACAAACUAAGCACCAUGGGAGGUAGCUUUCCUCUCAGUUGGCCCAACAGACAGAUUUAGGGGUCUAACACAUUCUUUUGG
rnacentral:lncRNA from 1 species